AUUGAACGCUGGCGGCAUGCCUUACACAUGCAAGUCGAACGGCAGCACGGGUGCUUGCACCUGGUGGCGAGUGGCGAACGGGUGAGUAAUACAUCGGAACAUGUCCUGUAGUGGGGGAUAGCCCGGCGAAAGCCGGAUUAAUACCGCAUACGAUCCACGGAUGAAAGCGGGGGACCUUCGGGCCUCGCGCUAUAGGGUUGGCCGAUGGCUGAUUAGCUAGUUGGUGGGGUAAAGGCCUACCAAGGCGACGAUCAGUAGCUGGUCUGAGAGGACGACCAGCCACACUGGGACUGAGACACGGCCCAGACUCCUGCGGGAGGCAGCAGUGGGGAAUUUUGGACAAAGGGCGAAAGCCUGAUCCAGCAAUGCCGCGUGUGUGAAGAAGGCCUUCGGGUUGUAAAGCACUUUUGUCCGGAAAGAAAUCCUUGGCUCUAAUACAGUCGGGGGAUGACGGUACCGGAAGAAUAAGCACCGGCUAACUACGUG
rnacentral:rRNA from 1 species